AUGGUUGCAAUCAGAUCUUUUGGGCAAGACCUAUUCGGACUCGUUUUCCCAGAGGAAAUCAGCUUACAGCAUCCUUUAAGAAAUCUAACCCCAGUCGGGAUGGAAAUGAACAGGAAGCGAAUUUCAUCUUGUGGAAACCUUUGGAUGCAUCACUGUACAACCAUGUUGAGCAAUCAUCAACAUCAUCAUUAUCAUCAUCAUCAUAACUGCCGUGCUACAAUAGAUCCCAGCAGGGGACAUUGCAGGAUGAAUAUAAAACCUCUAACUUUCUUCAAAUGCAAAUCUAUAACAAUGUAAACCUUUUCAUUAGAUGUUUGUGUUAUUUUAUUCUCGCCAUGUCCAUAAAUUUACAUAAAACACAUAAAAAACCUAUCUUGCUUCAACAAAAGAUUUAUUUUGCAUGGGAGAUGCAAAUGGUCCUAAAGUAGAUUUCAGUAUACUGCUAAACUUUUGAUUUUGGGUUGAAAUAUGAUCCAGACAGAUUCUCACAUAUAAUUUAGCACAAAUCACAUAUUGAAUGGAGAGAGAAAGAAGGUCACCCUUGACGCCGUUGAUGUUCAGGGAUGUCACAUAAUAGGCAGUUCACUUUUUUCCAGGGCAUAAAGUUGUGGCAUUCUGGCCCAGAUAUGUCAUA
ensembl:lncRNA